rfam:Myotis lucifugus cont2.6959, whole genome shotgun sequence.
AAGACACCCUUCUGGGGCAAGACUUGCUUCAGUGGGGCUUUGGUGCUCACUGAAUCUGUCCCCUGAGUGUGAUCCUU